UACGGAGGGGGCUAGCGUUGUUCGGAAUUACUGGGCGUAAAGCGCGCGUAGGCGGACCUGCAAGUCGGGGGUGAAAGCCCGAGGCUCAACCUCGGAACUGCCUUCGAUACUGGCGGUCUCGAGUCCGGGAGAGGUGAGUGGAACUGCGAGUGUAGAGGUGAAAUUCGUAGAUAUUCGCAAGAACACCAGUGGCGAAGGCGGCUCACUGGCCCGGUACUGACGCUGAGGUGCGAAAGCGUGGGGAGCAAACAGG
rnacentral:rRNA from 1 species